rnacentral:lncRNA from 1 species
AGAAAAAAAAGAAAAUAAUAGUAAUGGAUAAUCACAACAUGCAUAAAUCUCAAAAAUAAUUAUAUUAAGUAAAACAAACCAGUCAAAAAAGACCAUAUACUCUUUAUUCCAUUUUAAUAAAACUAUAGAAAAUGAAAAUCUUUGGUGAUAUAAAACAAACUAGUAGUGAGGAAGAGAGGCUUGGGAGGGAAAUUAUAAAUUACAUGAAGCAACUUUUGGGAGUGAUAGAAAUAUUUACUAUAUUGAUUGUUAUGAUGGUUUCAUGGAUAUAUACAUAUGCAAAAACAUAUCUACACUUCAAAUAUGUGGAAUUUUUGUAGGUUAUUUAUACAGCAAUAAGCCUGCUCAAAAAAGUAAAUCGAGCAAUGGAGGGUACCAAGAUUUUACUUGCAUAUGACUGUUCUCUAUCUAGCCUGCAAACAGGUGCACACAAAAUCUGCAACUUUAACUGGAGCUUGCCAGGCAACACCUCUGCAACAUUAUGCAAAUCACUGUGAGAAAGAGACAAUAAUUAUGUCAAAAACCACCAAAAUAUGUUUGUUUCCACACACUUUUUUUAAAAUUCCCAGAUCUGGGCUGUCUACAGUAUGUGCCUGCCAGUUAACCUAACUUGGGGCUUUUCACUUUGGUUUAAAGAAUCUGAAAUUGAGCUCUGCUCAAGUUAAGUGCAUGUGGUGAUUCAUGUGCAUGGAAAGUACCUUGGGCUGACCACAAACUAGAGUUCCCUACAACUACAUCAAUGUCAAAACUAACCACUGUCUCCUAGCUUGUUUGUUUAAAAAAAAAAAUCCCAUGGUCUUCAAUUUGGUCAUUUAAAAAUAAUCUACAAGGUAUACUGUUUUUCUGUUCUUGUUAUUUCCUAACUUUUAAGGUUUCUAUUUUUCCACCCUGUAGAUCUUGUUCUCACUAGAGAAUAAUUUCUACAUUAUGCCCAGGUUCUUCUGAGCUAUGAAGGGGCCCAGAUUUAAGGGCUAUUUUUGACACCCUAAAUGUGCUGAGACAAGUCAUUAAGGUGGUCCUGCCAGGACACAGCCAUCUAAAGCAGCAAUCUGCUUCUUGCCAGAAAAUCUCGUGCCUCUGCAGAGCCUUUUCCAGAAUGAACCACACCAUGCUGAGGAAAGGAGAAAGAGACUACCUACUGCAUUUCUGUCACUCGCUGAAAAGGACACUCUGUCAGAAAAUCUUCUAGCAAACUUCAAAGGGCAAAAUCACCCCUUGUUACUGAUAAAGCCCAGAGAGCUUCAGCAGCUAACAUUCCCUGGACAGGGCACAGCAAGGAUUUGAACCUAGGUCAGUCUGGCCAGAACACCCACAAGCUUUCCUUAACUCAGUGUGCUAUCUCCCCACGACUAGGUCACUACUGCUUUAUAAUCACCUUUGUAGCCACCAGUGGAUUUUGCUCAUCAGUAUUUUUCAGGCAAUUGAUACUUUAGAUAUUCAGCUGCAAGACGUAUGCAGUUUUCAUUGACAUCUUUUGGAGAAACUGACAAACCUGGACUUGACUUAAUGCCUUUGGAACCUUCCAAGAUGUUAUAUAACUCUAGAUAGAAGGCUGGGCCUCCAUGAUGUCAGGAAUGUUGCAUUCUUAUUUCCCCAUAGAUAAACCCAUUUGUCCACAAAGUCAAGGAGUCAGGCAGAGGCCCUUGCCAUGGGGCUUUUUAGGAUAAAGCAACAAGCCUGGACUUUGCUCUACAACAGGGUUUUGCAUAGGGAGUGGUAUGACCAGAUCCCUCAAGAAAGAAAGCUUAGAGACCAGGCCAGAGUCCACUGCAGUAGCCCAGUCAAGAGAGGAUGGUGACUUGGACUUGUAGUAGAGCCAGUUAGAAUGAAAGAAAUUGACACAUUCAGAAAUGGUUUUAGAGAUAGAGUCAAACUGGACCUGAUAAAGAACUAGAGAAGCGGAGUGAGGAUAAAGAGAAGAGCCAUGACUGACUCGGAAGAUUUUGUCUUGAAAAACUUGAGAACUCAAGACAGAGUGAAAUAAAAUCACAUGUGGGAAAAAUCUCCUGCUUUGUUUUGGACUACUUUGAAGUGAAAUGCCUGUUAAGCCUAAGUGGGGUAGGUCAUGGCGUACAUGACUGUGGGCUCAGGAUGGAUACAGGCAUUCAGGAGUUGUGAGCAAAUAGAACUUAAAGCCAUGAGAGAAGAAGGGAUCACCAAGAGAGACAGUGUGGCAUAGAGAAGAAAAGGGGUGGAAGACGAUCCCUGGGCAGAAAAGUCCUUAGAGCAGAGGCAACAGGCAUGACCAAGAAGACUAAGAAAGAACAUUCAGUACAGCAGGAGGAGAGCAAAAAAUGUGUGGUAUUCUAGAAGCAAAGAGAAUAAAGGGCUUCAGGAAGGAGCAGUCAAGUGUGUCAAAUAAGAUAAAGACAGACAAGUCCCCUGGAUUGGGUAGGAAUAAAAUAACAACAGACUGCCAUACAAAUGGUUCUAUCUACACCAUCUAAAAGAAUAUAGUUUAUUCUCCAUACAUUUAAGAAACACCUGCCAUAUGCCAGGUAUCCUUUCAAGCACUGAAAUGCAGAUUCAUAAAACAUGGUCUCUGCUCUCAAGGAGCUCACAGUGGUAAGGAGGAAACAGGCAAUAGCGAGUGUUCUCAUUGCAUUCGUGACCCCAUUGAUCUUGCAACAGCCCCAUGCAUCAGUUAUUGCCAUUAUACCAUUUUACCGAUAAGGAAACUGUGGCAGGGAGGGGUCAAGCACCUUGGGUAUUUGACAGCAAAACCAAGGCUUGGUGGUAUCAUAAAACUUCCAAGUAGUAAUUCACAAAGGUGACUGGGAAAUGGAAGUGACCAGAAAUCUUUGCACUAUGAGGACAAGUUCAUGACCCUGAUACAUUCUUGUCCAGGUAGUAUAGCUCCAGACCAAAUGUCUGCGGCCACCCACCCAAAAACUUGUUGGAUAAAAAUGACUACACCUAUAGUCAAAUGAUUUUUGACAAAGGUGCCAAACAGUUAGAUAGGAAAAAGAAAGUUAUUUUCAAUAAAUGUUGCUGGAGCAACCAGAUAUCCAUAUGGAAAAAAAAUCUUGACCACCUACCUCACACCAAACACUAAUAUUAACUUGAGAUGGAUCAUAAACCUAAGUCUGAAAACUAAUAGUAAAGUUCUUGAGAAGAGAACAUGGGAGAAUGUCUUCAUGAUGUUCAGGUAGGCAAAGAUAUUUUAAGACACAAAAAAGCAAUAAGCAUAAAAUUUGUAAAGAGGUGACUGGGGCUUUAUCAAAAUUAAAAUUUAUGUGUAUUAAAAGACAUCAUGAAUAAAGGGAAAAGGGCAGCCACAGACUGGGAGAAACUCUUUACUAUACAUAUACCUAACUGAGGCUCAUAUCCAGAUUAUAUGAAGAACUCCUUCAUACUGAUACCUAGGGUCUUGAUUGCAUGCCCCGAAAUCAGUUGAUUCUUCCCUUUUGAAAUGCAUUCCCACAAGGAUCCAGCCUUUGGGAAGCCAUGCAAGUAGAGGCAGAAGUUGUUUCAGCUUCGGAAAGGGCCACUCUGCUGAGGAGUGUCCUUGACCGGCAGAGAGAAGAUGUUCCUGCAGCCAUGCUGAUUCCAGGGGGAUAUAGAAUUUGGGGCCUGGGAAUGUUUAAAAAUGAAAGCCAGUUAAUAGUUUUAUUUUUCUUUUAACAUGACAGACAGGAGAACAACCAGCAGGACUCCAGGCUUACCCUGACAUUUUUGUCAAGUAUAUGCGGGUUCUCCAGAGAGCCAGAAUCAAAAGAUGUGUGUAUAUACAGCCAUGUGUUGCAUAACAACAAAGAUACAUUCUGUGAAAUGUGUCCUUAGGCAAUUUCAUCGUUGUGCAAACAUCAUAGGGUGUAUUUGCACACACCUAGAUGGCAUAGCCUACCACACACCUGGACUAUGUGGUAUAGCUUGUCACUCCUAGGCUUUGUACAGCAUGCUACUAUACUGAAUACUGUAGGCAAUUAUAACACAAUGGUAGGUAUAUAUGUCUAUGUAGACAUAUCUAACAUAGAAAAGGUACAGUAACAAUACAGUAUAAAAAGUGAAAAUUGCACACUUAUAUAGGGCACUUCCAAUCAAUGGAGCUUGUAGAACUGGAAGUUGCUCUGGGCGAGUCCGUGAGCAACUAAGACAUUACACUGUGCG